rnacentral:rRNA from 1 species
UACGGAGGGGGCUAGCGUUGUUCGGAAUUACUGGGCGUAAAGCGCACGUAGGCGGAUUGGUAAGUUGGGGGUGAAAUCCCGGGGCUCAACCCCGGAACUGCCUCCAAAACUCCCAGUCUGGAGUCCGGGAGAGGCGAGUGGAAUUCCGAGUGUAGAGGUGAAAUUCGUAGAUAUUCGGAGGAACACCAGUGGCGAAGGCGGCUCGCUGGUCCGGUACUGCCGCUGAGGUGCGAAAGCGUGGGGAGCAAACAGG